CCCUCAGAUGUUCUGGGCUGCACGCGUGCUACACUGAAGCGUCAUAGGAAGUGUACCUGUCUCUAACGGGAGGGGUAAUCUCGAGAACGCUUCGUGAUGGGGAUAGAUUAUUGCAAUUAUUAAUCUUCAACGAGGAAUGCCUAGUAAGCGCAAGUCAUCAGCUUGCGUUGAUUACGUCCCUGCCCUUUGUACACACCGCCCGUCGCUCCUACCGAUUGAAUGGUCCGGUGAAGCGUUCGGACCGUGGCCUUUGGACGGUUCGCCGUCUGUUGGCUGCGGGAAGUUCGUUAAACCUUAUCAUUUAGAGGAAGGAGAAGUCGUAACA
rnacentral:rRNA from 1 species